rnacentral:rRNA from 1 species
UGGGGAAUUUUGGACAAUGGGCGAAAGCCUGAUCCAGCAAUGCCGCGUGUGUGAAGAAGGCCUUCGGGUUGUAAAGCACUUUUGUCCGGAAAGAAAUCCUUGGCUCUAAUACAGUCGGGGGAUGACGGUACCGGAAGAAUAAGCACCGGCUAACUACGUGCCAGCAGCCGCGGUAAUACGUAGGGUGCAAGCGUUAAUCGGAAUUACUGGGCGUAAAGCGUGCGCAGGCGGUUUGCUAAGACCGAUGUGAAAUCCCCGGGCUCAACCUGGGAACUGCAUUGGUGACUGGCAGGCUAGAGUAUGGCAGAGGGGGGUAGAAUUCCACGUGUAGCAGUGAAAUGCGUAGAGAUGUGGAGGAAUACCGAUGGCGAAGGCAGCCCCCUGGGCCAAUACUGACGCUCAUGCACGAAAGCGUGGGGAGCAAACAGGAUUAGAUACCCCUGGUAGUCCACGCCCUAAACGAUGUCAACUAGUUGUUGGGGAUUCAUUUCCUUAGUAACGUAGCUAACGCGUGAAGUUGACCGCCUGGGGAGUACGGUCGCAAGAUUAAACUCAAAUGAAUUGACGGGGUCAUAGCUGUUUCCU